rnacentral:lncRNA from 1 species
UUGGGAGGCUGAGGUGGGAGGAUCACGUGAGGUCAGGAGUUCGAGACCAGCCUGGCCAACAUAGUGAAACCCCAUCGCUACUAAAAAUACAGAAAUUAGCCAGGCGUGGUGGCACGGGUCUGUAGUCCCAGCUACUUGGGAGGCUGAGACGGGAGAACUGCUUGAAACCGGGAAGCAGUGGUUGCAGUGAGCCAAGAUGGUGCCAACAUACUCCAGCCUGGGCCACAGAACGAGACUCUGCCUCAAAAAUAAUAAUAAUAAAAUAACCAAAAGCAGUGGACAUGGUGGCGCACGCCUGUAGUCCCAGCUACUCUGGGAGGCUGAGGUGGGAGAAUCGCUUGAACCCGGAAGUUCAAGUGAGCUGAGAUCGCCCCACUGCACUCCAGCCUCGGCGACAGAGUGAGACUCUGUCUCAAAAAAAAAAAAAAAAAAA